rnacentral:rRNA from 1 species
AAACCAACAGGGAUUGCCUUAGUAGCGGCGAGUGAAGCGGCAAAAGCUCAAAUUUGAAAUCUGGCUCUUUCAGAGUCCGAGUUGUAAUUUGAAGAAGGUAUCUUUGGGUCUGGCUCUUGUCUAUGUUUCUUGGAACAGAACGUCACAGAGGGUGAGAAUCCCGUGCGAUGAGAUGAUCCAGGCCUAUGUAAAGUUCCUUCGAAGAGUCGAGUUGUUUGGGAAUGCAGCUCUAAGUGGGUGGUAAAUUCCAUCUAAAGCUAAAUAUUGGCGAGAGACCGAUAGCGAACAAGUACAGUGAUGGAAAGAUGAAAAGAACUUUGAAAAGAGAGUGAAAAAGUACGUGAAAUUGUUGAAAGGGAAGGGCUUGAGAUCAGACUUGGUAUUUUGUAUGUUACUUCUUCGGGGGUGGCCUCUACUAGUUUAUCGGGCCAGCAUCUAGUUUGGGCGGUAGGAGAAUUGCGUUGGAAUGUGGCACGGCUUCGGUUGUGUGUUAUAGCCUUCGUCGAUACUGCCAGCCUAGACUGAGGACUGCGGUUUAUACCUAGGAUGUUGGCAUAAUGAUCUUAAGUCGC